rnacentral:rRNA from 1 species
UGCGUAGGUGGUUUCUUAAGUCAGGAGUGAAAGGCUACGGCUCAACCGUAGUAAGCUCUUGAAACUGGGAAACUUGAGUGCAGGAGAGGAAAGUGGAAUUCCUAGUGUAGCGGUGAAAUGCGUAGAUAUUAGGAGGAACACCAGUAGCGAAGGCGGCUUUCUGGACUGUAACUGACACUGAGGCACGAAAGCGUGGGGAGGCAAACAA